rnacentral:rRNA from 1 species
AGCGAACGCUGGCGGCAGGCCUAAUACAUGCAAGUCGAGCGGCCCCUUCGGGGGCAGCGGCGGACGGGUGAGUAACGCGUGGGAACGUGCCCUUUGGUACGGAACAACUGAGGGAAACUUCAGCUAAUACCGUAUGUGCCCUUCGGGGGAAAGAUUUAUCGCCAUUGGAGCGGCCCGCGUUGGAUUAGCUAGUUGGUGGGGUAAUGGCCCACCAAGGCGACGAUCCAUAGCUGGUCUGAGAGGAUGAUCAGCCACACUGGGACUGAGACACGGCCCAGACUCCUACGGGAGGCAGCAGUAGGGAAUCUUGCGCAAUGGGCGAAAGCCUGACGCAGCCAUGCCGCGUGAAUGAUGAAGGUCUUAGGAUUGUAAAAUUCUUUCACCGGGGACGAUAAUGACGGUACCCGGAGAAGAAGCCCCGGCUAACUUCGUGCCAGCAGCCGCAGUAAAAC